GGGAGGUUGCCUUGUAAUCGGAAGGUUGCCGGUUCGAGCCCCGGCUUGGACAGUCUCGGUCGUUGUGUCCUUGGGCAAGACACUUCACCCAUUGCCUACUGGUGGUGGUCAGAGGGCCCGGUGGUGCCAGUGUCCGGCAGCCUCGCCUCUGUCAGUGCGCCCCAGGGUGGCUGUGGCUGCAAUGUAGCUUGCCAUGUGUGUGUGAAUGGGUGGAUGACUGGAUAUGUAAAGCGCUUUGGGGUCCUUAGGGACUAGUAAAGCGCUAUAUAAAUACAGGCCAUUUACAUAAUUAGCAUGAUAUUUUAGAUGUGGUCAAAGAAUGCGUAAUGAUCCAGCCUAUUGUAUCUGUGUUCAAGGAAGUCCUCAACUUUUAUUUGAGUAGUAAGCAAAUUCAUAAAGAGACAAGGGGGAGAUAAUUACAACCUAAAAGCUUUUUAUCUUCUACAAGAAUGGAACCAUUGAUUUUUUUUUUUUUUUGGCUCAGCUUCCUCUCAUGUGUACUCCGCUAUGAUCAGAGGACUCUUUGUUUGACAGCAAAAAAGAAGAGGAGGACUGAAGAUGAGGGGAAGAGAAAGGAUGGCUCAUUAUUUCUGGAAGCAAAAGUUUGGGGAACAGAAGUCACGUGACCUGUGUGGGUACACGUCUCAUGUUUCCUAGUGUGUGAAAACUCUUUGAUUUCCUCUCACUUUCAUAUCAUAAUCAACCGUUCAGACUCUCCUGUUCCUGUUCUCUGCCAGUAGUGUUGACCGGUGGUCCCUGUGACCUGCCUCUGCAUGAUGCUUAUUUGAAAGAUCAUUCACGUAAUUCGCUCGGUGCACACCGAAGCGUUCGUCUGGAGCUGCUGUGCCGUGUAUUAAUGAGCAGGUCUUGUGUCUAUUUGUCAUCUAUCAGCAUAAAUCUCCUUAACAAGAGUGAAGAGUUUUAGCCCAUCAAAAUGAAGGUGCUCGUAGAUCACAGUCUUCAACACCCUUUGGUAAAAACAUGAUAGAUUCAUUCAUAAUGUUCUUUCUUGGGCAAUAAGCCAGAACAGUAGGCAUAAUCCUUUAGCUGUAGUACAAUGCUAACGGUGAACAACCUGAAUAAAGUCCUGUGCUUUGUUGCUAAGGCACCAAUUUAGUCG
ensembl:lncRNA